rnacentral:rRNA from 1 species
AUUGAACGCUGGCGGCAGGCCUAACACAUGCAAGUCGAACGGUAACAGGAAGAAUCUUGCUUCUUUGCUGACGAGUGGCGGACGGGUGAGUAAUGUCUGGGAAACUGCCUGAUGGAGGGGGAUAACUACUGGAAACGGUAGCUAAUACCGCAUAACGUCGCAAGACCAAAGAGGGGGACCUUCGGGCCUCUUGCCAUCGGAUGUGCCCAGAUGGGAUUAGCUAGUAGGUGGGGUAACGGCUCACCUAGGUGACGAUCCCUAGCUGGUCUGAGAGGAUGACAAGCCACACGGGAAGUGAGACACGGUCCAGACUCCUACGGGAGGCAGCAGUGGGGAAUAUUGCACAGUGGGCGCAAGCCUGAUGCAGCCAUGCCGCGUGUAUGAAGAAGGCCUUCGGGUUGUAAAGUACGUUCAGCGGGGAGGAAGGGAGUAAAGUUAAUACCUUGGCUCAUUGACGUUACCCGCAGAAGAAGCACCGGCUAACUCCGUG